CCCCGCUUUAAUUGCUGCCUGACGUGCCUCCUCCUUCAGAGACAAGCAGGACCUUGACAUCCUCCAGCGCUGAUGCCAAAAAGGGAAGACAGUUUCAAGCUUGCCUGUUUCUCCAAAGAAAGGGUGCAGGAGGAUCUGCAAAAGUAGUUGGUAAACAUUUAUUUGGAUUCAUAAAACACUGACACUGAGCAGCACUCAAACGACUUGAUAAGAGCUGAUGACUUCUCCCACCCUACAUGUCCCCAGAUCAAUUCUUCUGCUGGUAUGUCCUUCUGAACUGCCCCAGGAUGGAUCCCACCAUAAUCCAGGCUAUCAAACACCCUUGACUUUGCUUGUGGGAUGGUUAAUCAACAAGUCUGUCACAAUGAUGGAUUCCUCCUGAAUUGUUGCUUAAUUAGCUUGGUUGGAAGUAUAAAUCAAGUGGAAUACCAAUUCUUCCAACGUUACAGACAGGCAGCCACGCUCAGCUUGACAGCAGUGAGUUAUUACUUUCUGCCCCAGCGUGGGAUCAGCAGGAGAGGGCCAGCCCUCAAAACCAAAGGGGCCAUAGGUUCGUCCCCGAGAUGGCUGAUGCCCGGAGACCACACACACCAGAGUGAAGGGUUGGUUGGUGUGGAGGAGGUGGGCUCCAAGGGCAACCAGCUGCACGGGCUCUGCACGCCUAGUGUGAGAAGAACCAUCACCCCUGUGGGUGACAUCUGCCUGUGGGGAAGACAACCUUAUAUAUGGGUGAUGUUUCCCACCUGGGAUGUAUGGUGUCUGCUGCUAGCUUUUUAGCGUAGAAGAAACAUCUUUGUCUCUGUCCAGACUAAGUUAUUAGAGACAAGGAGCUUUGUCGCACAACAAGCAGAAUUGCCUUCUGCAGAAAGGCAAUUACGCAUUAUAACAAAAGGAAAAGUAAUACAUUGUCUGCAAAUUAAGAUUUUCGAGACUGAUCUUAGCUCACUGAUCCUAACAGCCUGGUAUUUUUAUAGAUGGGGCUUUCACACAACAAGAAUGUAUUUAAACUGUUGACCUGAACUGAAUGUCACAAUUUUACCACAGAUGACUUCUGUGUAGCUACAAACAGCUUGCUCCCAGCAGGUCUGAGCCAGCUUGAGCAUCCCUGAACUGCGUGGUGGACAUCAUACAAAAGUACUUCCAGAUUUCUACUUACCCGUUUUGAAUUUGCAGACUAAACUAAACAAACAUACUUGUUCUUCCAUGGCCACCUUUUUUAUUUAUCCUCUUUCUUUGUGUUUUCUUUUCGGAGAGCUUAAUUAAUGAUUAAUGAUUUCAGGUGGGAUGUGUAAGUCACACUUUGGAGAAGGAAUUGGUUUGUUUGAAAAUGACUGAAACAUAUUGGAGUAAUCUAAUUUUACCGAUUUCCCUUUCCACACUUUUUCAGUGAAAGGGUGGGUUCAGUGGCCCUGCUUGCAUAAGACCUAUGAACAUGAGUAAUGCUCUCCGAGGUGCAGAAGAAGACACUGACCUCAUGAUAACAGAGACAUGGGUCCCUUCUUUGCUUUGUGACGUAGUUGUUGCUCCAGUGUGUAGCAUCUCGCUGCCAAACGAGUAAAUCUGUUGCAAGCAUGUGGAUGUCUCAAUGGAAACUCGUGGGGAAGGUCUGGGUGAGGCACGGUGUGAAUCACAUUGCCAUGGCAACCCUGCAUUGCCUCCAUCCGUCGACAUUCGCAUCCUUCUUCUUGGCAUUUUCACAAAUGGAGUCUUCAGAGUUUAUUUUUUUUUUCAACAGUUGAGUAGAAUAGAUCACUAACUCUGCUUUUAUCACCAUGAUAAAAAAAGUGUGAAAGCGGUGUUUGUGUGGGGGCUACAGAAAGGUUACAGUUAUUUAGCAGAUUUAAGUUAAACUUUUGAGACUAAAUUAUGUCUGAAGAAGCCCUAUAUUUUUAAAGACAUCAGGACAGAGAAUGAGAAUGCAGUUCAGAUAAAUUUGUCUCUUCCCAGACGGUCCUGAUAUAGAUGCUGGGAAUCAGAAAAAAACACUGAACAAUCUGUUCUAUGACUCUAAUAUGCCUCUUUUUUCUUUUUUUUUCAAUAGCAAUGAAGAGGAAUCCCUACAGCUGACAAAUUCAAAUAUGCGUAAAACUUUCC